UACAGAGGUCCCAAGCGUUGUUCGGAUUCACUGGGCGUAAAGGGUGCGUAGGCGGUUGGGUAAGUCUGAUGUGAAAUCUCACAGCUUAACUGUGAAACUGCAUUGGAUACUAUCCGGCUAGAGGAAUAGAGGGGAGACUGGAAUACUUGGUGUAGCAGUGAAAUGCGUAGAUAUCAAGUGGAACACCAGUGGCGAAGGCGAGUCUCUGGACAUUACCUGACGCUGAGGCACGAAAGCCAGGGGAGCAAACGGG
rnacentral:rRNA from 1 species